CCUACGGGAGGCAGCAGUAGGGAAUCUUCCACAAUGGGCGAAAGCCUGAUGGAGCAACGCCGCGUGGGUGAAGAAGGUCUUCGGAUCGUAAAACUCUGUUGUUAGAGAAGAAAGUGCGUGAGAGUAACUGUUCACGUUUCGACGGUAUCUAACCAGAAAGCCACGGCUAACUACGUGCCAGCAGCCGCGGUAAUACGUAGGUGGCAAGCGUUAUCCGGAUUUAUUGGGCGUAAAGGGAACGCAGGCGGUCUUUUAAGUCUGAUGUGAAAGCCUUCGGCUUAACCGGAGUAGUGCAUUGGAAACUGGGAGACUUGAGUGCAGAAGAGGAAAGUGGAACUCCAUGUGUAGCGGUGAAAUGCGUAGAUAUAUGGAAGAACACCAGUGGCGAAGGCGGCUCUCUGGUCUGUAACUGACGCUGAGGUUCGAAAGCGUGGGUAGCAAACAGGAUUAGAUACCCUUGUAGUC
rnacentral:rRNA from 1 species